UACGUAGGGUGCAAGCGUUAAUCGGAAUUACUGGGCGUAAAGCGUGCGCAGGCGGUUGUGCAAGACAGAUGUGAAAUCCCCGGGCUUAACCUGGGAACUGCAUUUGUGACUGCACAGCUAGAGUGCGGCAGAGGGGGAUGGAAUUCCGCGUGUAGCAGUGAAAUGCGUAGAUAUGCUGAGGAACACCGAUGGCGAAGGCAAUCCCCUGGGCCUGCACUGACGCUCAUGCACGAAAGCGUGGGGAGCAAACAGG
rnacentral:rRNA from 1 species